rnacentral:rRNA from 1 species
ACAGCAGUAGCCGCGGGAAUACAGAGGGUGCGAGCGUUAAUCGGAUUUACUGGGCGUAAAGCGUGCGUAGGCGGCUUCUUAAGUCGGAUGUGAAAUCCCUGAGCUUAACUUAGGAAUUGCAUUCGAUACUGGGAAGCUAGAGUAUGGGAGAGGAUGGUAGAAUUCCAGGUGUAGCGGUGAAAUGCGUAGAGAUCUGGAGGAAUACCGAUGGCGAAGGCAGCCAUCUGGCCUAAUACUGACGCUGAGGUACGAAAGCAUGGGGAGCAAACAGGAUUAGAGACCCGGGUAGUCCCUGUCUCUUAUAC